AAACCAUGUGAAUACAAGUGGGGAAAAACCAGGCAGUAGCAGACUUUGGAUUCCAAGCCAGUGAGCCUGUUGAGAGAGGGAGUUUUGCAUGCCACGUUGUGAAUUAUUACAGCAAGACCCAGGUGGUCUCUUUGAGAGACACAGAGAGAGACAGAGAAAGAGAGAGAGAAUGAGAGAGAGAGGUUGAGAAGCUGAAUUUCUAUGAAGCAUCAAUAGAGUCUCCGUCAACCCCACGGGGAAUUCUGAAGUGAUUCAGCUCGUCAGGAGUCAGAGACAGCCCCUGUGCAGCCUCCUGCCCACUGUGGCCACACGGUCUCUGUCCCUCUCUUGGCUGGACUGGCCUAGAGAAACAGGAAUGUGUUGUCCAGGACACAGCAAGACCUGGAAAACCACACCUCUGCCUGUCAGAUGCAUCUGUGGACAGCCCUCCUAUCUGCCUCCA